UCCGAUAUGGUGUAGUGGCUAACAUUAUCGCCUCUCACGCGGUAGCCCGGGGUUCGAUUCCCCGUGUCGGAA
rnacentral:tRNA from 1 species